rnacentral:misc_RNA from 1 species
GAUGAAGAACGCAGCGAAAUGCGAUAAGUAAUGCGAAUUGCAGAAUUCAGUGAGUCAUCGAAUCUUUGAACGCACAUUGCGCCCUGUGGUAUUCCGCAGGGCAUGCCUGUUCGAGCGUCAUUUCAACCCUCAAGCUCUGCUUGGUGUUGGGCCCUGCCCGCUGCGGCCGGCCCUAAAGACAGUGGCGGUGCCGCCUGGCCCUGAGCGUAGUACAUCUCUCGCUCCAGUGCCCGGUGGUAGCCUGCCAGAACCCCAACUCUCGUGGUUUACCUCGGAUCAGGUAGGGAUACCCGCUGAACUUAAGCAUAUCAAUAAGCGGAGGA